rnacentral:rRNA from 1 species
GAUGAACGCUGGCGGCGUGCCUAAUACAUGCAAGUCGAGCGAACAGACGAGGAGCUUGCUCCUCUGACGUUAGCGGCGGGCGGGUGAGUAACACGUGGAUAACCUACCUAUAAGACUGGGAUAACUUCGGGAAACCGGAGCUAAUACCGGAUAACAUGUUGAACCGCAUGGUUUAACAGUGAAAGACGGUCUUGCUGUCACUUAUAGAUGGAUCCGCGCCGCAUUAGCUAGUUGGUAAGGUAACGGCUUACCAAGGCAACGAUGCGUAGCCGACCUGAGAGGGUGAUCGGCCACACUGGAACUGAGACACGGUCCAGACUCCUACGGGAGGCAGCAGUAGGGAAUCUUCCGCAAUGGGCGAAAGCCUGACGGAGCAACGCCGCGUGAGUGAAGAAGGUCUUCGGAUCGUAAAACUCUGUUAUUAGGGAAGAACAAAUGUGUAAGUAACUAUGCACGUCUUGACGGUACCUAAUCAGAAAGCCACGGCUAACUACGUG